UAGAGUACGAAAGAGGAAAGUAGAAUUCACAGUGUAGCGGUGGAAUGCGUAGAUAUUGUGAAGAAUACCGAUGGCGAAGGCAGCUUUCUGGUUCUGUACUGACACUGAGGUGCGAAAGCGUGGGUAGCGAACAGGAUUAGAUACCCUGGUAGUNCACGCCGUAAACGAUGACAACUAGCUGUUGGGAAGCUAUGCUUUUCAGUGGCGCAGCUAACGUCUUAAGUUGUCCGCCUGGGGAGUACGGCCGCAAGGUUAAAACUCAAAUGAAUUGACGGGGACCCGCACAAGCGGUGGAGCAUGUGGUUUAAUUCGAUGCAACGCGAAAAACCUUACCUACACUUGACAUACUUGGAAUCUUUUGUAAUGAAAGAGUGCCUUUUGGAGCCAAGAUACAGGUGCUGCAUGGCUGUCGUCAGCUCGUGUCGUGAGAUGUUGGGUUAAGUCCCAUAACGAGCGCAACCCUUACCCUUAUUUGCCAGCGAUUCGGUCGGGAACUAUAGGGGGACUGCCGGUGAUAAACCGGAGGAAGGUGAGGACGACGUCAAGUCAUCAUGGCCCUUACGUGUAGGGCUACACACGUGCUACAAUGGGGAGUACAGAUAGACGCUAAAGCGCUAGCUGGUGCUAAUCUCAUAAAACUCUUCGUAGUCCGGAUUGCAGUCUGCAACUCGACUGCAUGAAGUCGGAAUCGCUAGUAAUCGCGAAUCAGCAUGUCGCGGUGAAUACGUUCUCGGGUCUUGUACACACCGCCCGUCACACCAUGGGAGUGUAUUGCACCAGAAGUGGGUAGUCUAACCUUCGGGAGGGCGCUCACCACGGUGUGGUCCAUGACUGGGGUGAAGUCGUAACAAGGUAACCGUA
rnacentral:rRNA from 1 species